rnacentral:rRNA from 1 species
UACGAAGGGGGCUAGCGUUGUUCGGAUUUACUGGGCGUACAGCGCACGUAGGCGGCUCGUUAAGUCGGGGGUGAAAUCCUGGAGCUCAACUCCAGAACUGCCUUCGAUACUGGCGAUCUUGAGUCCGGAAGAGGUGAGUGGAACUCCUAGUGUAGAGGUGGAAUUCGUAGAUAUUAGGAAGAACACCAGUGGCGAAGGCGGCUCACUGGUCCGGUACUGGCGCUGAGGUGCGAAAGCGUGGGGAGCAAACAGG